AUUGAACGCUGGCGGCAGGCCUAACACAUGCAAGUCGAGCGAGCGGCGGACGGGUGAGUAAUGUCUGGGAAACUGCCUGAUGGAGGGGGAUAACUACUGGAAACGGUAGCUAAUACCGCAUACCAUCAGAUGUGCCCAGAAGGGAUUAGCUAGUAGGUGGGGUAACGGCUCACCUAGGCGACGAUCCCGAGCUGGUCUUAGAGGAUGACCAGCCACACUGGAACUGAGCCACGGUCCAGACUCCUACGGGAGGCAGCAGUGGGGAAUAUUGCACAAUUGGCGCAGGCCUGGUACAGCCAUGCCGCUUGUGUGAAGAAGGCCUUCGGGUUGUAAAGCACUUUCAGCGGGUAGGCGUUACCCGCAGAAGAAGCACCGGCUAACUCCGUGCCAGCAGCCGCGGUAAUUC
rnacentral:rRNA from 1 species